ACCUGGCUAGCUCAGUUGGAAGAGUAUGAGACUGUUAAUCUUGGGGUUGUGGGUUUGAGCCCCACGUUGGGUC